rnacentral:rRNA from 1 species
UACGUAGGGUGCAAGCGUUUAAUCGGAAUUACUGGGCGUAAAGCGUGCGCAGGCGGUUUUGUAAGUCAGAUGUGAAAUCCCCGGGCUUAACCUGGGAACUGCGUUUGAAACUACAAGGCUAGAGUGUGACAGAGGGGGGUGGAAUUCCACGUGUAGCAGUGAAAUGCGUAGAGAUGUGGAGGAACACCGAUGGCGAAGGCAGCCCCCCUGGGUUAACACUGACGCUCAGGCACGAAAGCGUGGGGAGCAAACAGG